GACGAACGCUGGCGGCGUGCUUAACACAUGCAAGUCGAACGGAAAGGCCCUGUUCUUGUAGGGUCCUCAUGUGGCGAACGGGUGAGAAUCACGUGAGUAACCUGUCCUUGACUGCGGGAUAACUUCAGGAAACAGGGGUUAUUAUCGGACAUGAGAUCCUGCUGCACGGUGGGGGUGGGAAAGAUUCGGCGGUUCGGGACGGACUGGCGGCCUAUCAGUUUGUUGGUGGGGUGGUGGCGUACCAAGGCACCGACGGGUUGCCGGAUUGGGAGUGUGACCGGCCACAAGCGGACUGAGAGAGGGCCCAGAGGCCUACUUGAGGAAUGAGCGAGGGAUAGUCCAAACUGGGCGGCAGCCGGAUGCAGCAUCGCCGCAUGCGAGAAGACUGCCUUCGGGGUGUAACCCGCUUUCGCCUGUAACGAAGCGUGAGUGACGGUAAUGGGUAAAGAAGCACCGGCUAACUACGUG
rnacentral:rRNA from 1 species